GUUGUGACACAUUUUCUUCAAUAUCUUGCUCCACAUCUUCUUUUUUCUUGAGAAAGAGUGUCUUCAAAAUUCAUAUCCUUUAACUUCUUCCCAAGAUUUUCUGCAUCCACAUCAAGCUCUUCUUUUCUUGCUUUAAAAGAGUAAGUCUCAUCAAAAAUAACAUGCACUGAUUCUUCUACUAUCAAUAUUCUUUUGUUAAAUACUCUGUAUGCUCUACUAUAAGAUGAAUAACCUAAAAAUUAAAAUUUCUUCAUCAGAUUUUAUAUUAAAUUUUUCUAGUUUAUCUUUACCAUUUAUUAGAAUAA
rnacentral:lncRNA from 1 species